rnacentral:rRNA from 1 species
AUUGAACGCUGGCGGCAUGGCUAAAACAUGCAAGUCGAACGCGAAAGUGGAGCUUGCUCCACAAGUAGAGUGGCGAAAGGGCGAGUAAUGCGUUUCUAACGUGCCCCAAGGUCAGGGAUAGCUCAGGGAAACCUGUGGUAAUACCUGAUAAUCCCGUCGUGCCACAUGACGCGACGGGCAAAGGCUUGCUGCCUUGGGAGCGGGGAACGUGCUAUCAGGUAGUUGGUGAGGUAACGGCUCACCAAGCCUAAGACGGCUAGCGGGUGUGAGAGCAUGACCCGCCGCAUCGGGACUGAGACACUGCCCGGACUCCUACGGGAGGCUG